rnacentral:snRNA from 1 species
GACAUAACGUUAUCUGGGUUAUG